UUAGAUAACUGCAAAUCAGUACAGGACUCUGUAAUACCAGAUGAACUUUUUAAAUAUAGGCUCCUUUAAAAUUAUUAUGCUAGGAGACUGGGGAGAUAGCU